UUUACAUUUUGACUUGUAAUCAUGUAACUUACGACUUCUAACUAUGAGGACAUCUCUAACACCAUUUCAGAAAUAACUAUUUUUGGUUAUACUAACUAUAAUGUGAUAAUUAGGAAGUAUUUAUGAAAAGCCCUAAUUGACAGUUUGCUAUAUAAGUGAAAAAUAAACCUUUGCACUUUCUAAUAAGUUGACUCAUUACUGAGUUAUAUUAGCUGUUAUUCUCAAAAUGAGAUUUUUAUUAGAAAAGGUAAGUUUGUACUAAAAUUUGGAAGCUAGUCAAGUUCCUUCAUCAACUGCAAAGUAAACUUUCAUACACAAACCAAAGUCAAGAACAUUCUUUCUCCUCUUUAACUACACACUAUUUUCAUAGUAUUAACACCAGCUAGGCUCUAUAUUAUAUAGGAUCUUGAGAGCUGUUGAGACUCAAGCUUCAAGUUUUUGAUUUGCCAAAGGAAAAGUCAGCAUUUAGAUUUAUCCUGAUAUCUGAGAUGUAAGGAACUCUACAAACAUCUCUAAAGGGACAUAGAGCAGAUAAAGGGACACUAUGUUAUAUUUUAGUGGGUCAUUUGAUUUAUCAUUUUCACCAAAAAUUGGCCAUGGCAGCUAACAAAUGGCAUAUUUCUGCCUCCUGAAUGGAACUGUGGGACACGGUGGUACUUAGGACAUACACUUCAAGGCAAAUGAUCAGACUAAAAAUUUACAUACUCUUAGGAAAUGAGAUAAGAACAUCCACACUUUGGGUGGAAAUGUUUUUCAAAUUGUUUACAAGACUCUGAAUAGAAAUUUGACAAAUUAAAAAAUGACAUAUACCAAUUUCGUUACAGCCUACCAUUGUAGGCAAAGUCUGUUAGUAUUACUGGGAUCAGAUGCUUUUAAGAUAUCUUGGAUAAAUUCUGUUGUUUUAAUUGGUGUUAAUUCUUUAUGGCGUUACAAAAGAAAGUUUACACCACUCAAAGCACUAACAAAAAUCUUUCUAAUGAUGUGUCUGUCCCAUGCAGUAUAAUGCUUAGGGUAAUUGGGAAAU
rnacentral:lncRNA from 1 species